rnacentral:rRNA from 1 species
GUGGGGAAUCUUGCGCAAUGGGCGAAAGCCUGACGCAGCCAUGCCGCGUGAAUGAUGAAGGUCUUAGGAUUGUAAAAUUCUUUCACCGGGGACGAUAAUGACGGUACCCGGAGAAGAAGCUCCGGCUAACUUCGUGCCAGCAGCCGCGGUAAUACGAAGGGGGCUAGCGUUGCUCGGAAUUACUGGGCGUAAAGGGCGCGUAGGCGGACAGCUUAGUCAGAGGUGAAAGCCCAGGGCUCAACCUUGGAAUUGCCUUUGAUACUGGCUGUCUUGAGUUUGGGAGAGGUGAGUGGAACUCCGAGUGUAGAGGUGAAAUUCGUAGAUAUUCGGAAGAACACCAGUGGCGAAGGCGACUCACUGGCCCAAUACUGACGCUGAGGCGCGAAAGCGUGGGGAGCAAACAGGAUUAGAAACCCGUGUAGUC